rnacentral:rRNA from 1 species
AGUCGAGCGAGUCUGCCUUGAAGAUCGGAGUGCUUGCACUCUGUGAAACAAGAUACAGGCUAGCGGCGGACGGGUGAGUAACACGUGGGUAACCUGCCCAAGAGAUCGGGAUAACACCUGGAAACAGAUGCUAAUACCGGAUAACAACAGAUGAUGCCUAUCAACUGUUUAAAAGAUGGUUCUGCUAUCACUCUUGGAUGGACCUGCGGUGCAUUAGCUAGUUGGUAGGGUAACGGCCUACCAAGGCGAUGAUGCAUAGCCGAGUUGAGGGACUGAUCGGCCACAUUGGGACUGAGACACGACCCAAACUCCUACGGGAGGCAGCAGUAGGGAAUCUUCCACAAUGGACGCAAGUCUGAUGGAGCAACGCCGCGUGAGUGAAGAAGGGUUUCGGCUCGUAAAGCUCUGUUGUUGGUGAAGAAGGACAGGGGUAGUAACUGACCUUUGUUUGACGGUAAUCAAUUAGAAAGUCACGGCUAACUACGGGCCAGCAGCCGCGGUAAUACGUAGGUGGCAAGCGUUGUCCGGAUUUAUUGGGCGUAAAGCGAGUGCAGGCGGUUCGAUAAGUCUGAUGUGAAAGCCUUCGGCUCAACCGGAGAAUUGCAUCAGAAACUGUCGAGCUUGAGUACAGAAGAGGAGAGUGGAACUCCAUGUGUAGCGGUGAAAUGCGUAGAUAUAUGGAAGAACACCGGUGGCGAAGGCGGCUCUCUGGUCUGUUACUGACGCUGAGGCUCGAAAGCAUGGGUAGCGAACAGGAUUAGAUACCCUGGUAGUCCAUGCCGUAAACGAUGAGUGCUAAGUGUUGGGAGGUUUCCGCCUCUCAGUGCUGCAGCUAAC